rnacentral:rRNA from 1 species
GUCCACGCCGUAAACGAUGAGCACUAGUUAUUUGGGGUAUUGACUCCCUCAGUGACGCAGCUAACGCAUUAAGUGCUCCGCCUGGGGAGUACGGUCGCAAGACUAAAACUCAAACAAAUUGACGGGGGCCCGCACAAGCUGUGGAUUAUGUGGUUUAAUUCGAAGCAACGCGCAGAACCUUACCUAGGCUUGAACUCCUACGAAUCCGGCGUAAUGGCUGGAGUGUCCGCAAGGAAAUGUAGUGAGAGGUGCUGCAUGGCUGUCGU